rnacentral:RNase_P_RNA from 1 species
UAAGACAGACAAUCGCGUGCAUCUUCGGGAUGUAUGAGGAAAGUCCGGGCUCCGCAGGGCAGGGAUGCCGGAUAACGUCCGGCGUAGGUAACUAUAGGGAAAGUGCAACAGAAACAUACCGCCCCUCUCCACGGAGAGGAGUAAGGGUGAAAUCGUGAGGUAAGAGCUCACGGGGAGAUAUGGUAACAUACCUCUCGUGUAAACCCCAUCCGGAGCAAGACCAAAAUGGGCAUGCGGCUUCGGCCGGAUGGCGGCCCGUCAUCGCCCGGUAGGUAGGUCGCUUGAGCCUGUCGGUAACGGCAGGUCGAGACAGAUGAUUGUCAGAUACAGAACCCGGCUUAUGUCUUG